CGUUCUAUAGUAUUAUUAAGGCAGCAAACCUUUAUACUUCUAUCAUUUUUAAAACAAACUUAAUACUGAGGGUACAGUGACAAAAAAGCCAAAAUGGUCACAACACUUUUCAAAAUAUGUAGUACGGGCCGUUCUACAUUGGGUUCAAAUUCCACCCUGGGUAUCUUUGACCUUUUGAUAAUUUGUAAUAUGUUGACACAUACAUUAUGUAUCAGUUAACAAUUUGGGUAGCUGGCAUGUAUAUUCGGUUCAAUCCAAUGUCUAAGAUAUAUGCACACCUAAACACCUCAUUGUACUUGUAUAUAAAACCAUUAUUUUUUUUAAAAAUCAUCCUAUACUCCUCGUUCUGAUUGUUAAUGUAUCCUUAUCACUGUGAGAUAUAACUGCUAAAGUAGUGACGUGUGCUGUUCACCAAUCGCAAGGUAAUGAAGGUCUCGGCAAGCCCAGAUGCCAAACGGUUUCAAUUCCACGUAGAAGCUGCGUCACUUCAUUUAAAACAUUACAUUUUUCCUUUUCUUUGGCGUAUGAGGAGGGGAACCAUGGACAAAGCCGUGUCCAUGAUUCCCCCCUUCUGUGUAUACAAUACUUGGGCCUUGUGUGCCCAGUCAAAAAGAAACCAAAUCCUAUUGCUAGGUUAGUAUUGAGCUAAUUGCCAUAGCAUAUUACUGGCAACAUCUCAAUAUACAAAAUCUGCAAUCCGGUUUCGCUCUCCCGUUGGAACAAUUUCUUUUCUCCUUUAUUUUUUUAAAAUUCAACUUCCUUGAAUGAAAGCAUGAACAUUAAAGUCUUUUUAUCUCACCCUCUUUUAAAAAUAAUGAUUGUUUAGUGUUCAUCUGUAAAAAUGACCAUGCAGAAUUAAAUAGGCGCAGUUGACUUGGCGAUUUUCAUUAACAUCUUCAGUGUGUUGUGUUGUGUUGGAGAGAUUGAACCCCAUCUCAAUACGAUUACUUUUCAUUUUAACACCCGGGGAUUCCAAGAAAAAAAAUUGUCCUGAGAUUAGGAAAUUACAAGUGUAUACGACUUAAUACUACUAUACUAACACACUCAUGUUUAAUCCUUUUCAGUGUGUUCAUCUGUUUGAGAGAACUUUUGAUGAAGAGCGCUCCAAGAUGACAAUCUAGAACCACGUUAUCGAAUCCCGCCCUUCGUUUUAUGUGGUCAAGAGAUCACUUGGCUGCAGUUUCUAACAUGUUUAAUGACUGUGUAAUGCAGCUGUUUUGGGACCAUUUUACAAUCAUAGAUUGGUGAAUUGUAAGUUCAAGUUGUAUGUGUGCACUCUGCUCUAAGAAAAGCAAUAAGCUUUAAUUUAAUCACUCACUCCUCACAGUAUAUAUAUAUAUAUAUAAAUAUAUAUGGGAAGCAGAGUGGUGAAAAAAAAUUAUAGUUCUCCAGAUUUGAGAACUUUUAAAUUUGUAAAACCUUCAACAGAAUUUAGGUUAAAGGUUUCAUGCUUUCAUGGGGGCCCGCAUCCUUUGAAUUGAGACUUAUCUCUUUCAAUAAACCAAUAAAUGAGAUGUUUUGAUAUUCGGAGCUUCAAUCUUUUCAGCUGAAAAUUUCUUAGGUUCAACAAUUUUUUAAUAUAUAUCUAACGAUUUGAUUAAAAAUAGGUUUCUGCUAUAAUACGAGUUUAUCUAUAUUUAUGUCAGUUAUAAGCCUAGGUGAAAUAAAUUUUUUAAUAUUGAUAUCCAGAAAGGUGGUAUUAAUAUCUCAUCCUCUUAAUAUUAUUUGCUUGAAUUUAGUUAAGGGCUUCCUUGAAAUUACUCCUUUCCAGUUCGAUAAAAUUUGGUACAGUUUGAUCCAUACAUCAAUUCACUUCCUCUUUAAAUACCUAUGUAGGAUUGCGUCAAUUAAAAAAACCCAGCAUUGUUAUUAUGUAAAAUAUAUGCUAAACAAUAUAAAUAAUUUAUAUUAGUGUAGCAGCGUGCACAGACUUCAUAAAGACUUUAACUUCCGGUUCACCAAAUCCGUAAACCCUGUCUAUGUUUGAAUCCACUGCAUUUCGAUCGAAUAUCUCAUGCGAUAAUGCAUAAUUCACCAUAUAUCCCAUAUGGUAAUACAUAAUUGUUAACAUCAUUUAUUUUUUACAUGCAUAUAUAUAAUAUAUGGCAUGCUACCUUUUAUACUGACUCAAAACUAUAUUUUUCAUUUAGGUUGGGACAUUAUUUGCGGUACAUGUUUAGGUUCUUUGCAUCGUAAUUUCAAAUCCCACCGAGGUCUAUCUUAGCUUUUAAUCAUCCUGGAGUCGAUAAAAUAAUGUGCCAGUUACGUACUUAGUUUAAUAUUGUCGGUUAUAUAAUUCUCUUAAAAUUCUGGUCUUGUGCCUUCGUUAGAAUUAAUUAAUUUUAUCGCUUUAACAACGUAAUAAUGUUGAUCAUUCUAUUAUGCCUUAGUUAAGAUGUUAUGACAUUUAUCAUAUUCAAAUAAGUCCGGUCUUAGUAAUUAUUUUCAACAUAAUUUUCUAGAUUCAACCAAGAAGUAAUUAACAAUAUUCAUCAAUAUCGCAUAAGUUGGGGAAAUUAGUGCACUAAAGAAAAUUAUAUUCGCUUUUAUCUGAAGAAUUUCUUGCAUAAAAUAAACAUCGAAGUAAAUCCUAGCAGAGAAUUAUUCUAAGAAAAUAAGUAAUCUGAAAUAUUGGUAAUGGUUUGUAAAAUAAAAUCAAGUAGGUUUUUCCCUGGAGAAAAGGGAGUUCUGUUUUUUUUUUUUUUUUUUUUUUUAGGAGAAUUCCCCUUCGAAAACGAAACGGUUACCUCCUAAGCAUUGCAUUCGAAAUUACCUGAUUAGAUUAAGGUUAUUUAACCAAAUAACAGCCAAAGCUUUGGAUAACAGAUUAGUCUUUAAAAAGAGAAAAAAUGUUUUGGUAGGUUUUGACGUAAGUGAAUUUUAGUAGAAAUUUGUAUGAGUUGUAUGUCAGCGAAUAAGCAAAAAGCAGUUUUAGCGGGUUUCUUUGAUCUCAACUGUUUCUAAUUGUAGACUAGGAAAUUCGCUAACCAAUAGCAUUUCCCAAAUGUUAUGAGAUGGUUCAUUCAAAAGAAUCGUAACAUAAACAGAGCGAUUUUUUUUUAAGUUGCUAAGACUGAAGGAAUGGGCGAGCCAGUGAUCUCUUCAGGCUCUUCGACACUGGUGAGACUGAUGUCGUAAUUGUUCUCUUUAAACUGUUGCAGUUCAACACCCACAGGAUUGAUAUGAGCAGGGGGAAUAUACCAGAGGAUCGAAGUAUAUGAGACGUAAGAAUACGCAUAGUGGUUAAUGCAGGAACAGGAGGAUUAGGCACAAUAAGGGUACCAUGUGGUGCACUGACAAAUGAGGCUAUGACGCCUGUUGAUGGCAUAUUUCUUCUUCGUUGCGAAUAGAAAUUCAAAAUUAUAAAUUCACAUUAAACUAAAUAUUCUGAAACAGAAGGUUAAUUUUUCUUCUUCAUGAAAUCGUUCCGUAAAAUAUUUCUAAUUAAGGCAUAAUGUCUGAAAUUUGGAGGAGAGUGCUAAUCGAUUACAUCGGCCCCAGUGAGAACUUAACGCGUACUUUCAUCAACGCCUGAAGGAUUAGAAACACAAUAGAUCUCGGCGGGAUUUGAACCAAGAGAGUAAAGAGCCAGCAGAAAUAACGCAAGGCACUUUGUCGACUGUCUAACUAUUCUGACAUAAUCGGGGAACGUGUAUUUGGAGGAUGGGACAAAAAGAAGUUAAAUGUUCAUGCGUAUCAUUUUAAUGAAUGCGUUAAAAUAUAAACUAUUUAUGUAAUAGUGGUAUCACACACAAUGCUAGACAUUUUAAAGAAGGAGUACAGACGAUAUUACUCUUAAUACUCCACGCCUGCUUUCACUCAAAGUUGAAAGGCAAUAUCGGCUAUGGUGGAUUUUUGAACUCAGAACGAAAGGGAAACAAAAUCAAAUUUUGUAGUACAUAAUUACUUUAUUUGGGAUUCAACUUUUUCUGUCCCUUACGCUUUAUUAUAGUGAGUAAAGUGUCAUUCUAAGAAGAUAUUUUGCCGAAGUGAAAGAAAUUCUAACCCGCUUACUGGUAUAUUCCCGUUAAAAAUAUACAUUGAGCGCAUUUAUGUUUGUGUAAGGUAUAUUCCUUACUUUCUACACAGAUAUAUUUCCAUGGGCGUUUUAAAGAAAUAAUAUCAAAAUAUUUAGAGGAAAGAAUUACGUCUACUUCUAAGUACAUCUUUCUUUAAAAUGUAGAAGUAUGUACGUAUCGAAUAGAAUUCAAAUUUCCCCCAUGGUACACGCACAUUGCUAUUUUCAUAUUUAGCAUUAAAAACCGCGUAAAGCAUCUUUUAAAAACGUGGUCAGUGAUGACACAAAAAUUAGUUAUAUCUCUAUUCCCCGGGUGUCUAAGUUCAAAUUUCAUAUAAUGUGUGUUUUUUUUUUAUCACCUGUCUCUAAUCCUUAACAAAAAAAUAAAAAAUAUAUAAUCUCCAGUAAGUCUGACACAUCUGGGUAGAAGGACUAAAAUAAAUAAAAAUUAAAUAAAAGUAUGUCUUAAAUAUUUCAGCAUGGAAAUAUAUAUAUAUAUAUAUAUAUAUAUAUAUAUAUAUAUAUAUAUAUAUAUAUAUAUAUAUAUAUAUAU
rnacentral:lncRNA from 1 species